rnacentral:rRNA from 1 species
UACGUAGGGACCAAGCGUUGUUCGGAUUUACUGGCGUAAAGGGCGCGUAGGCGGCUUGACAAGUCACUUGUGAAAUCUCCGGGCUUAACUCGGAACGGCCAAGUGAAACUGUCAUGCUAGAGUGCAGAAGGGGCAAUCGGAAUUCCUGGUGUAGCGGUGAAAUGCGCAGAUAUCAGGAGGAACACCGGUGGCGAAGGCGGAUCUCUGGGCCUUACCUGACGCUCAGGUGCGAAAGCUAGGGGAGCGAACAGG